rnacentral:rRNA from 1 species
UUAGAACCGCGUGGGCGGCAUGUACUUAACACAUGACAAGUACGAACGACGAAAGUCCUUCGGGGCGAGUAGAGUGGCGGACGGGUGAGUAACGCGUGGGAAUCUACCCUAGAGCGGGGGACAACCCGGGGAAACCCGGGCUAAUACCGCAUACGUCCUACGGGAGAAAGAGGGCCUCUGCUUGCACGCUCUCACUCCAGGAUGAGCCCACGUCCGAUUAGCUAGUUGGUAGGGUAAAGGCCUACCAAGGCCACGAUCGGUAGCUGGUCUGAGAGGAUGAUCAGCCACACUGGGACUGAGACACGGCCCAGACUCCUACGGGAGGCAGCAGUGGGGAAUAUUGGACAAUGGGCGCAAGCCUGAUCCAGCAAUGCCGCGUGUGUGAAGAAGGCCUGCGGGUUGUAAAGCACUUUCAGUGGGGAAGAACAGAUUCGGGUCAAUACCCCGGAGCCCUGACGUUACCCACAGAAGAAGCACCGGCUAACUCCGUG